rnacentral:tRNA from 1 species
UGAGUAGAAAGGGACUCGAACCCUUAUGGCAUCAACCGACACAUUUUGAGUGUGUUGCGUCUACCAUUCCGCCAUCUACUC